UUUAUAGUUAUAUGUUAGAAUGGAAUCAUCUAAAUAAUUGUAGUUGUUAGCUGUCGACCUUCGUGGUCGUGGCUGCGGCGCGUUUCUGUAAUUAAGUUUUACGUCACUCAUAGACCGAACUCCCUGCGAUAGCCUCUACCAUAUAAAAAUUCGCUAUGUCACUUAACGAAACCUAGAGUUGCUGGAACUUCGUUAUUCGGUAUCGGAGAGAAUGAUAAAACAAAAUAAUUGAUAUAAUGAUAGAUCACUAAAAUUGCUAUCAGUGAUAGUCAUUCUGUGGGAAAGGAUAAUAAAAGACGUGCGAUUUCCACAGUGGGUGCGCAAAUACGUUACAAAUGAACAUUCAUCAUGGAGGGCGAUAAUUCAAAACAUGACUAAAUGUUUGUUUGUUUGGAGACACAUGCGGCCUUGGGCCUGUGCGUAUUGGGACGUCCGCUGCACGUGUUGGAGGCGCUUGUCAUAGUUUGACGACAAAAAGUUUUCCGGUGCUAAACUAAACAGUGUAACGUUCACUGCUGUUCUGAUCAUUAACGUUUUGAAUAUUAACAACAAAAUGACGAAAUGAAAAAAGGAGAGUUCAGUAAAAUAGCAAGAUAACAUUAGAAAUAUCUCCAUAGAUUUCCGCCUCAGAAAAAUAAUGGUUCUUUCAUUUCGUGAGUUUACUGCUAAAGCCUUUUUUGAUACUUCUGGUUCAAAACAAUCUAGUUAUUAUCGGUUGAUUUUAUAAAACUGAUCACAAACAUUUUAGGCUCAUAAUAAACUAAAAUGUUAUUUUGAGUUAUCAAACAUUUGCCUUGUAAAUAUUUACCCCAGCACAGUGAGUCCUUAUGGAUCAUGUUUACUAACGGCUAUGACUAACCAUAUUACAAAAAAAAGCUCAAGUAUCAACUACGUAAUUUACACUAUACAAGUAUACAUGUAGCGAUAAAUAAAGCUAGAGUAACGUCGCAGUUCGUAAGGGUUUGGCUCAGAAAAAUAAAUAAGAUAAUAACGAGAUAUUAGAUUACAUCUGGACCACAUACUGCGAAGCUCGGUAACGAAUAAUCGUGAUCGACAUAGAUGAACAAAUAAACCUUGUAACACGAUUCAAAGAAAGUAAACAGUCUGCCAGAUAAUUGAACUUAAUUAGUAAUCAUAAUUCAUGCAGAAUGGAUACGACAUAGAACUAUGGAAUCAAUAAAGAUUAUGAAUGAUACUAUCCUCAAUUAAAAAACUUUGAGUGAGUUCCUACAUUGAUUUUAUAUAUUUGAUUGCUGUUUGCACUACACGGCAACGUCGCUUUUCAACUAUCAAGGAUUCAAUUUCAUUAAAUUGAACCUGAGCUUUCUGCUCUCAGUAAAAAAUGUUGUCAUAUUUUCCAGUCUGUACUACGACACUGAUUUCGUGAUUCUUUUUACAUACAUCUUAAUCAUCAAAGGCAAAAUGUAAAUAAUAGAAUUAACAAAAUGUGUUUAAUCUAUUAUGUAUUAAGACGAUAAUAAGUAGGCUCAAUAAAACCUUGUGAAUCCAAAAACGAGCGUUGGAUGGAACGAGGCAAACAAUCAAUGUACCUAAGUACAUCAUUAAAUGCGUAGGCGUUUAAUAAAAUUCACUUUCGAUUGGAAAGAAAUCGGCCAGGCGUGAAUACAUCCAUAUCCAUUUACGCUCAGUUUGGGGUGUUGGGCUAGGGAGGCUUUUAUAUCAUACAACUACAUUACCCGAACCUGUCAAUCAAGCCGUAUCCUUGACGACCCCGGGUCCAUGUAAUUGAUAGCCUCUCGUGAGAAGAGAAGAUUCCUUCGUAAAUUAAUAUACCAAAGCGUAUUUAUACUUAGAUAUGCGUGUUGAACAAUGAACAAAUCAAUACUUUAACUAGACGAAGGAAACACGCCAUCGAUAAUACGACAAAGGCUUUAGUACGCCACAACGCCGGCUUCAGGCGCGAAAUGAAUGAAUUCAGUCGUUUAUAUAGUGUGGAGAUUGAUGGGCCUCACAAAGGGAAUCGCCUCAACAAUGACGAAGCAGAUACGAACACUACUGGUAAUAAACAUGACAAAGGAAAUAUUACAUAAUAUUGUUUCCCAACUACAUUUUUUUGAUACUACGAUUAGUAGUAAUAAAUACUUUUUGCUCGAAUAUGGCUACUUGAUCAACUGAUUUAAAUUACUUAUGUUGAUUAUAUAGGCAUAUCCUGCCGUAUGGUUUUCGGUAGAUCUUUGGUGGAAAGUAAAUCUGGGGGAAGAACCUGUUACUAUAUAUAUACAACGAAGUAAAAAAAAAUGAGUUAUGUAUCUGAAAUUGGAAGGCCACUUCUAAACCAGUGCACAAGGAAUAACUGACAGAAUAUGGUCAAUGGUGUACGAUAAGAUAUCUGAUUAUAGGAACAUACAAAAGUUUAAUAAUCUAAUUUCCCACUUAUGAAAGCAUCCACAAACGUUUUCUUUAAGAAGCAAGUGAAUAAGAACUCAAAAAAAAAUGUAGGGUUUUUCAUAUAAAAUAUUCUAAAGAUCCUAAAGUUCUCAUAAAAAAAAUCUGAUGGUUAUCACUUUGGAAAUUUCCAUAUUUCAUAUGGAGUAAUCAGUUUAAUAAGCAAAAUAUGCGAAGAAAUUUUAAGUAGCACCAGUCAUGAAAUGUUGUAAACCAGAUUAAAAAGAUGCAAAAACUCGAUAAGUAAGAAUUACGCAGCGCUCAGUGAGCGUAGAGCAGUUUGUCGCGUUAUCAAGGAAUGUUUCCACUUUCAUACACUUUCUUUGGUCUGCAUGACGUGCGUGCAUAUGUGCAUGUGGAGUGUAUAGAGAUGGAAAUCCGUCUACUACUGUCGCCCCCCCUCUGGCGAGGCGCUAUCGAUCUGCACCGACCUUGACUUGACGCGCGCUCGCCUGCCACAAUUAACAUUGACAAUAGCGACGCACGCGCAACACCUUAUCAAAUACAUACUUUCCUCUUCGUGUAUUUUUAUAACGUAUGUUUUUACAUCAUUUGUUUAUGAAAUAAAAUUCUACGCCGGAUUGAUGUAUGCUAAUACCGAAGUCAUAAAAAUGCAGUUUUAAGAGAAAAAGGAAGAACUCUUCAAAGCGGCUCUUAAUAGAGAAAUGCGGACGUCAAUUGGUCAUUAACUUUACGAGAGACAAGUACUAUAAAAGCAAAGUCAAAUGGCCGUCCUAGAACUGACCCGUAGAACGGCAGGCGAGAGGCGUGCGGGUAGCGGAGCGGGUGUACGGUGAGUCAAAGGCGCGGGGGCGGUGCGACGCGUGCAUUCGCCGCGAGAUAUGGGUAAACGGAACGCAGAGAGAAGCGCGCCGCGGGGGCCUGCGACCUUGGCGAUUCGCUGACGACUACAGGUGUUUUUUGUUCGUGCACAAGAUCUGAGCGAUGCUUGCUCUGCUGGCCAGUCUGCGCUGGGCGAGACGGUGGACGCGCGGCGCGGGGAGCACAACCGGAACUCCAACUACAAAACAAUGCUCAUUCUCAAUACCGAGAUGCGUUAUUGUGGGACUUCGAGAAAGCAAUUGAAGAAUGGUGUAAACACAGUAAUUUUCUAGAGAGGGAAUUUGCAACGACUUAUUGUUAAAUUGUUAAAAAAAAUACUUGAAGAUAUAAACCUCGACAAUAAACAAAACAUUUAUUUUCCGACUUUGAACCUGUUGUGAAAUAAUGCCCUAUGCCUCGAAGAGACAAUGAAGAAGAAAGGAAUGAAUGAUGUAGGCCAACAAAAUUCUAACGAACACGUGAAUAGUACGUUGUUGUCAUAUGGCUAAAUAAAAAAUAAUGAGAA